UGGCGGUGUGCUUAAGACAUGCAAGUCGACGGGGGAAGCUUGCUUCCCCAGUGGCGCACGGGUGAGUAACGCGUAACUGACCUACCCCAAAGUCGCGGAUAACGGUUCGAAAGAAUCGCUAAUACGUGAUGUGCUGUCAGAUCGUGUUCUGCCAGUAAAGAUUAAUUGCUUUGGGAUGGGGUUGCGUUCCAUCAGCUAGUUGGUGGGGUAAAGGCCUACCAAGGCGACGACGGAUCGCCGGCCUGAGAGGGUGGCCGGCCACAGGGGCACUGAGACACGGGUCCCACUCCUACGGGAGGCAGCAGUUAGGAAUCUUCCACAAUGGGCGAAAGCCUGAUGGAGCGACGCCGCGUGAGGGACGAAGGUCUUCGGAUCGUAAACCUCUGAAUCAGGGACGAAAGACACUUCGGUGGGAUGACGGUACCUGAGUAAUAGCACCGGCUAACUCCGUGCCAGCAGCCGCGGUAAUACGGAGGGUGCAAGCGUUACCCGGAAUCACUGGGCGUAAAGGGCGUGUAGGCGGACACUUAAGUCUGGUUUUAAAGACUGCGGCUCAACCGCAGGGAUGGACUGGAUACUGGGUGUCUUGACCUCUGGAGAGAGAACUGGAAUUCCUGGUGUAGCGGUGGAA
rnacentral:rRNA from 1 species